rnacentral:rRNA from 1 species
AACGAACGCUGGCGGCAUGCCUAACACAUGCAAGUCGAACGAGACCUUCGGGUCUAGUGGCGCACGGGUGCGUAACGCGUGGGAAUCUGCCCCUCGGUUCGGAAUAACAGUGAGAAAUUACUGCUAAUACCGGAUGAUGACUUCGGUCCAAAGAUUUAACGCCGGGGGAUGAGCCCGCGUAGGAUUAGGUAGUUGGUGGGGUAAGGGCGUACCAAGCCGACGAUCGUUAGCUGGUCUGAGAGGGUGAUCAGCCACACUGGGACUGAGACACGGCCCAGACUCUUACGGGAGGCAGCAGUGGGGAAUAUUGGACAAUGGGCGAAAGCCUGAUCCAGCAAUGCCGCGUGAGUGAUGAAGGCCUUAGGGUUGUAAAGCUCUUUUACCAGGGAUGAUAAUGACAGUACCUGGAGAAUAAGCUCCGGCUAACUCCGUGCCAGCCGCCGCGGUAA